UACGAAGGGGGCUAGCGUUGUUCGGAAUUACUGGGCGUAAAGGGCGCGUAGGCGGUGUGUCAAGUCAGGCGUGAAAGCCCCGGGCUCAAUCUGGGAACCGCGCUUGAGACUGGCACGCUAGAGUUCGGGAGAGGAUGGUGGAAUUCCCAGUGUAGAGGUGAAAUUCGUAGAUAUUGGGAAGAACACCGAUGGCGAAGGCAGCCAUCUGGACCGACACUGACGCUGAGGCGCGAAAGCGUGGGGAGCAAACAGG
rnacentral:rRNA from 1 species